UACAGAGGUCCCGAGCGUUGUUCGGAUUCAUUGGGCGUAAAGGGUGCGUAGGUGGUGAGGUAAGUCGGAUGUGAAAUCUCCGGGCUUAACCCGGAAACUGCAUUGGAAACUACCUUGCUGGAGGGUUUGAGGGGGGACUGGAAUUCUCGGUGUAGCAGUGAAAUGCGUAGAUAUCGAGAGGAACACCGGUGGCGAAGGCGAGUCCCUGGAAAACACCUGACACUGAGGCACGAAAGCUAGGGGAGCAAACAGG
rnacentral:rRNA from 1 species